rnacentral:rRNA from 1 species
GAUGAACGCUAGCGGCAGGCCUAAUACAUGCAAGACGAACGGUAAGUUGAGUAGCAAUACUUAGCCAAGAGUGUCGUACGGGUGCGUAACACGUAUGCAACCUACCCUAUACAGGAGGAUAGCCUAGGGAAACCUGGAUUAACCCUUCAUAGUAUUAUUGGAUGGCAUCAUUUGAUAAUUAAAACUGAGGUGGUAUAGGAUGGGCAUGCGUCUGAUUAGUUAGUUGGCGGGGUAAUGGCCCACCAAGACGAUGAUCAGUAGGGUUCUGAGAGGAAGAUCCCCCCACACUGGCACUGAGAUACGGGCCAGACUCCUACGGGAGGCAGCAGUAGGGAAUAUUGGUCAAUGGAUGCAAGUCUGAACCAGCCAUGCCGCCGUGCAGGAAGAAGGCCUUCUGGGUUGUAAACUGGCUUUUGCCAGGGGAUAAAAUUUCCAAUGCGU